CAAAACGCAACGAACGGGAACAGUAACCGGCAACCUAUCUCAGAGAGCUGCGGCAUGGUGCAACGCAGUAUAGGUACAAGGUGAAGCUCACCCGGGAGCGGCCAGACUGAUCGUCCUGCGCGCAGCGCUGCACGCUUUAUUUCAGGGGACAGCAGGUUUGGACGGUUCGCCACCGUGAUCAGGCUUUGAGCGGACAUUGUUAUCGCCUCCGGCGAUUUUAAGCAAUGUCAACAAGAGUGGUACCGCGAUAGGAACAGCCUGUCGUCUCUUAU
rnacentral:ncRNA from 1 species